rnacentral:rRNA from 1 species
UACGUACCGUCCAAACGUUAUUCGGAAUCACUGGGCUUAAAGAGUUCGUAGGCGGUGCAGAAAGUUGGGUGUGAAAUCCCUCGGCUCAACCGAGGAACAGCGCUCAAAACUACUGGACUAGAGGGAGAUAGAGGUGAGCGGAACUGAUGGUGGAGCGGUGAAAUGCGUUGAUAUCGGAAAGAACACCAACGGCGAAAGCACUCUGCUGGGCCGACACUGACACUGAGAGACGAAAGCUAGGGGAGCGAAUGGG